rnacentral:sRNA from 1 species
CUUUAGAGCACAAAAAGCUAGUGCUAUAAAAAAAAUCUCACAUCCUCAAAAGCUAGUGCUAUAAUGACGCAGCUAAUGAGGUACUAACCGAGGCGCGUCUAUUGCUGGUUGAAAACUAUUUCCAAACCCCCUCAUGGGCCUGGGCUUGACCUAUGGCCUUUGAGAAUUUCUGGAAGGGCUCCCUUCGGGGUAAAGCCCUACAAAUCUUAAGUUCAAAU